rnacentral:piRNA from 1 species
UACAUAGGUCCUAAGCUGAGUUCCCAUUG